UACAGAGAGUGCAAGCGUUAAUCGGAAUUACUGGGCGUAAAGCGCACGUAGGUGGAUAUUUAAGUCGAUUGUGAAAUCCCCGGGCUUAACCUGGGAAUUGCAUUCGAUACUGGGUGUCUAGAGUAUAGUAGAGGGAAGUGGAAUUUCAGGUGUAGCGGUGAAAUGCGUAGAUAUCUGAAGGAACACCAGUGGCGAAAGCGGCUUCCUGGACUAAUACUGACACUGAGGUGCGAAAGCGUGGGGAGCAAACAGG
rnacentral:rRNA from 1 species